GGUAGCCUGAGAUCACAGAAAUAAAUCCAGCAAUGACUCAGUCCCUGGGGAGCAUCCCAACUGGUUGCGACCUCUCUGGCGGAUGCUUCAAGAGUACUGUAGAUCUUGCUGACACUGCCCCACGGAGCCACCACUCAGUCAAGUGACAACUUCUUUUGCCAUCGAGACCCAUGAGCCGAUGACUGUCAACCGGGGAAUGUCCCCUACCUUCUCCCCAGCUCAGCCCAUCAUAACCGGUUAUUACUGCAUCUGUGCGCGACCACACGGAUUGUGCGCUGGAGGGAGCCACGUCCCUGGAUGCUGAUGCUGUGGGAGCCUGAAGUAACUUUCCAGCUGCCUCCCAGCCCUCUGACCUGAUUGAGCAUGUCUCUGUCUUCAUCUUACUACAUCUACGGAACACUUCUCAGAGUUGGUUAUUUCCGAGCAGGACAAAACUGUUCCAGGAAGUGAUCAUUCCUGCUGAUUCCAUCCUCACAGGUUAGCAAUCUUAACAUUCGGGGCACAUCUCACUAUAGCAGGUGCAAGGAAAUGGAAGACUGAGUAAAGCACUCGCUGGUGACGCUACAGUAGUCAUCAAACGUGCGUGGGCAUUGAUCACCCAGGACGCAAGCGGACUUGUGAGAACACAGAUAUGGGGCCGUGCUCUCAGAGUUUCUUGUUCAGUUGGUCUGGGACAGAGCCGGAGAAUUUGAAUUUCUCCCAACCUCCCAGGGACCACUCUUAGAGAACUGCCAGGCUGAUAUGAUGAGACAGGUGGUCACAAAGCUUCUCAGUAGUCAGCAGGUAGUGCUCAGCGUUAAGCAGUAAACUCAAAGUCAAGCUUAAAGCGAACUCUGUCCAAAGGAAGCCACUGUUUUGGGCUCCUCGAUUUCUUUGAGGCACAUUCUGCUCACUCGUUGCCAUGUUGUGCAUAUUUAAUCGUCUACACAUGAAGGCAGACAGAGGAGGUGAGGGGAUCUUGGACCCUAAAGGUGAGGAAAAUGCCAUCAGAACUGUGCCUUCCCAGCCUCCUGUACACAAAGGAAGAUGAAGAAUGGCUAAGGGGUUUCUGCUGGUGUCUCCAUGUCAAUAUUAUGGAUUUUAAUGGUUGAUGAGAAAGAAGUGUUACAACGUUUCAGGGACCCAGAUCAACCAAAGGCUUUAGAUCUAAGUAAGACCGGAUCUUACUUAGAACAAGAGCCAAAAAACUGAACUUGUACCAGAUACAAUACAGACAAGACAUACCGGAUAAGCACCAUUUUGAUAUUGAUGAUAAAAUAUGAAGGUCAUAAAAAUGAAAACACACCAAAAUUUCCAAAACCAAUGACCAGGAGAAUUUCUGAAGUAAUGGACCAAGCAUGGCUAUAGCAAGGGACCUGGGCCGAAGGGUAGGAAGAGUGGAGAGAAAGAGAUCGAAGGUACAACAGUGGGACAUUCCUGAGGAGAAGGUUUGGACCCCGAGGUUCCUGACGUGCCCUCUGGUUCGGCUACAGCACAAGGUCUGCAGGCAGCGGUCAGACUCACCAGUCUCUCCUGAAAUGUAGGAAAACAUUUCAGGAAAAGCAGAUCUGUGCCAGGGUCAGCCAUCUGAAGCUCUGAUUUCAAGAGGAAAGCAGAGGGGAGUGGAAGAGAAAGUCGGCCUCUGCCUCGGGAUGAAGGCGACCCUCUCUGUGACUUGGCUCGCGUCUUCCUGCAGCAGAAGGAGGGCAGCGUGAUUCUGGGUCACUUCGUGACGGGCGGACCACACAAAACAAAGGAGGGCGGUGCUGCGCGCUGACUGCUGCCCCGGUUUGAAAACAUUUAAUCAACUCUCCUCCCAGGACGUUUGAGUUCUGUGCACUCCUGCCCUUGUGGGCUCCGUCUGGAAGAAAAAGUGCCAAAACCACCGCUGGAAAGGCGGCCUGGAGGUAUUUUCAGUCCGCCUGGAAGCAGCAGAUUUGGGUCCUCUGACAUCGCGGAUGAGAAGAAAGUACCCAGGGAGCAGCCUGUGGAUGAGGAACUUCUUUCCGGGGGAGCCGCAGCCGCUGCCUGGAGCCUGACAUCCUGCCCCUCAACAGUUUAGAGAAAUGGGGCCUGCUCAGGGUCCACAAACACCUGGCCGGGAGGGGUCUGAGCCUCCUCUGAGCCCCCCAGCACCGGAGCUCCAUUCUCAGGAAGCAACCCCAGCAUCUGAGAGCAUCCACCUCACUUCCUGAAUCUUUGGAAAAGAAUUUGCCAGGGGCUUCCAGAGACUUGGGCCAAAAUCCUCACUUGUCCUCCCACUUGAACACGUUACCAGACCUACCUGGGCUUCGGAGUUUUACCUCUGAAACGAGAAGACGGGGGGAGCCAGCCUCUGGGGUGCCUCAACCCAGGUGCCCGUUGUCCCUGUAUCUGGACCAACCCACAGGCCGGGCGGCCACCUCGGGGCCCCCAGCGGCCCCUCCCAGCCUGGUUCGCGGGGAGUCUCCCUCAUCUCCACCUCCAGGUCGCCCCGUAAACCGCGAGCUCCUGUAGCCCCUGCUCAGAAGAGCGCUCUGAGCAGGGGCUGAGGCCUUUCACUGAGUCCUCCAGGCCUCGGCGGGCUUGCUGAGGGGGCGGGGUGUCUGCGACGGUGUGACCACGGCUCCCACAGCCUCGGGGACACGCCCAGGCUCGGGCCAGCGCACAGAGGCCAUGCUUUCAGAGUGAGUUCAGCGGGCCUGACGGGACCCACGGCCCGGUCAGCUGUCAGCCACACGCAAGGUUAUCUGUGGGCGGAAACCGUCACCGUCUAUGUCUGCUGGGAUUUUGGCAGCCACGGGAGGGACGGUGCAUCCCUACAGGCCUGGCUGAGUCAGGUUCCCUCCGUGCCAACGGUGCCGCCAUCUUUGGCCGCCAAGGAGAGACGUUUUGGCAGGGCCCAGCGGCGUUUUCCCCGGAGGACAGUGUUACCGGCUCGCGGAGGAGACAGAGCUAGAAGGUGGCAGAGCUAGAAGGGGGCUGGGAUUCUGGAAGGACCUGGAUGGUUCUGGGAAAAUCUGGUAGCCAUUUUUGAAAGGAAAAAAAAACCAAAUCAAGGUGUGGGAGUGAGAGCGUGGGACUUCUUGGAAAUGAGGAGAAAGAAAAUAACAUGUCCGUCUCCUCAGCCUUGACCUCCCACCCCCGCGGCCGGCUGGACGACUCUGCUGGACUUUCCUGAUGCCAACUCGGAUCCGAAGUGUCCAAAACUGAGGUCAUCCUCCCUCACCCUGGCUCCUCUUCCCGUUCUGGCAGUAGAGCCACCCGUCAGACACCAGAGCGGGGCCUCGGGGGAAACCUCUGAUCUUCCCUUCUUCACCGCCGUCUCUGGCCGUCUCCUGCUCUGAGUCAGGAUUUCAAAGUCAUUGCUCACAAAAGUGAACGUAACCAAAGUGACCACGAAAGAAAAGGGAUCUGCAAAAGGAGAACGAAGCCAAACGUCGGCGUAAACCGGGGGGUUUCCCACUGCUUCAUCCCACAGGCUCCGGCCCAGCCAGGACACCUGCCCCAGGCCUCGGGCUCGGAGCCCACCCAGCCCCCGUGGAGCCCACGUCCCGCACCUCCCCCUGGGCCCAGGCCCCUGACCCAACCUUUCCUGGAUUUGCUGUCGCUGUUCCUAAGGCCCUCACCCCUCCUCCCACCUGCCCUAUGAGACGUCCUUCCUUUGCCUUCUGAACUCACAGUAACCGUCAGAGCCCAGCUCAGCCGUGCAGCCUCUACCUGUGGGGCUUCCUGACCCGUCCCUGCCUUGGGGUUCUACUGCGCCCACAGCAAGGACAACGGACCAUCGGCUCCCAGCUCGGGCCCCAGAGCCACACGACACCUGUAAGUGGGAGACACGCAAUUCCGGCUGAGUUGCGUAACAUUUCAGAGCCUUUGCUGUCCUUUCUGUAAUGCGACUGAUAACAGUACCUAACUUACGAGGGUGAGGGGAGGAUUAAAUAGGAUAUUGCCCUCAGUGUGCUUAGUACAAUGUCUGACAAUUAAUUAAUAAUCAGUCAACAGUUCUUGUUGUCACUGCUGUCCUUCCUACUCUCUCAUUUCCACUUUCCCGUUUGCUCGUUUGUUUUCAUGCGGCCAUCUUGUCGACCCCUACUAACUUGUAAGUUCUUGAAGGGCAAAGACAACGCUAUCUCUGUAUUAUGUUCUGCCCCGUGGUGCGCAUACACACGCACACACGCGUACACACACACACACACACACACACACACACACACACACACACACGAUGUUGUUGGAGUCGUGCCGGGGGCUGAGUAGAUGGUGGACGGACAAAAUUCCUGUCUGUCUGUGUGCAGGGUGGGUGGAGGCCUGGGGCCCCCAUCAUCUGUAGUGAUGGAACAUGGGCCUCGAGUAAAGAGGCCAGUCUGCCAACCAGGAGAGGCAGCGAGGGAGCUUCCAACGAGCACAGUUAUUUUAUCCAAUGUCACCCAAAGGUAGGCUAGGAUAACAUGCUCUGACUUUGGGGAAUUUAUAAAAUAGGCAAAGAACAACUGAUGAGGACAUGACAACUUCUGGAUUCAGGAUUUCAGGCAGCGUGUGAGGAGAAGGUGAAGAAAGGAAAGAGGCAGAAAGGGUCCCAAACAGUAGCCCCUGGUGAUGGCCGUGUAAUGGUUUUAUCUGAUCCAGGAACAAAACAAAGACAACUCUUUUCCAUGUCAGAGUUUUAAUUCUAGCGCUAUUUCUCCGUCAAACAAAACUGAACUCAAGGUAAAAUUGAAGGAGAAUCCAAUAGAAAGCAAUUGAGGACAGGCAAAGUGAACCAAAAUAAUGAAAGAGGCCUUUAUCAUAUCAUGCCUCAAAACAGAAUGAAGAGACAGGCCCCAGCCCUCCACCCCUCACUGAUUUCCAGGCCUGGGACUCCCCAGAGGCAGACUUCCUACCCGUUGUCCCAUUGUUGCUUCAAUCCAGCCCCAGGGCACUGAUCUUAUCUCUUCAGGUUUAUUCAUUUGUUUUCGUAUCUCUAAAAUGCACCUUUGUAUAGAAUCUGGGCAUGGCUGAAAAAUUACCCCAUUCUCAGCAGUGUCUGCACUAAUCAUGGCCCCUCCCUCCUCCUCUCCCACCUGGGACCGUCAGCACACCCGAGCCCUUGUCAUCAGGCAACAUCCUUAGCACCACAGGGGGGUAAGAAAUACAAAGGCACAUUUGGGGUAUAAAGACCAGUGCUGUUUGGGCUUUAACCAGACCAGCGGAAGAAAAGGAGCCUUCAAGGGAGAGGGCCUUCCACUAAAAGGGAAACAACCGCAAAACAAAAAAAUCGGGAGCCUGGAAUAAUUAGUCACUCAAUAUUGUAACAGUCUGUUUCUUAGCUAAACUCUGUUUUGUUUUCAGUACUA